rnacentral:rRNA from 1 species
AAAGGGGAGCAAUCUCCGAGUAGAGCGGCGGACGGGUGAGUAACACGUGGGUAAUCUGCCUAGGAGCGGGGGAUAACCUGGGGAAACUCGGGCUAAUACCGCAUACGAUCAUGGGGUCUCGGCCCUGUGCUGAAAGGUGGCCUCUGCUUGCAAGCUACCACUCCUAGAGGAGCCCGCGCCUGAUUAGCUAGUUGGUGGGGUAACGGCCUACCAAGGCGACGAUCAGUAGCCGGCCUGAGAGGGCGAUCGGCCACACUGGAACUGAGACACGGUCCAGACUCCUACGGGAGGCAGCAGUGAGGAAUCUUGCGCAAUGGGGGAAACCCUGACGCAGCAACGCCGCGUGGAGGAUGAAGGUCUUCGGAUUGUAAACUCCUGUCAGAGGGGACGAAUGUUCACGGGCUAAUCACCGUGAGCUUGACGGUACCCUCAGAGGAAGCCACGGCUAACUCUGUGCCAGCAGCCGCGGUAAUACAGAGGUGGCGAGCGUUAUUCGGAAUUAUUGGGCGUAAAGGGCGCGUAGGCGGCUUGACAAGUCCCGGGUGAAAUCCCUCGGCUCAACCGAGGAACUGCCUUGGAAACUGUCUGGCUUGAGGCCGGGAGAGGGUAGUGGAAUUCCCAGUGUAGCGGUGAAAUGCGUAGAUACUGGGAGGAACACCGGUGGCGAAGGCGGCUACCUGGACCGGUUCUGACGCUGAGGCGCGAAAGCGUGGGUAGCAAACAGGAUUAGAUACCCUGGUAGUCCACGCUGUAAACGAUGGAUGCUCGGUGCUGGGGGUAUCGACCCCUCCGGUGCCUUAGCUAACGCGUUAAGCAUCCCGCCUGGGGAGUACGGUCGCAAGGCUG